UACGUAGGGGGCUAGCGUUGUCCGGAAUCAUUGGGCGUAAAGCGCGUGUAGGCGGUCCGGUAAGUCCGCUGUGAAAGUCGGGGGCUCAACCCUCGGAUGCCGGUGGAUACUGUCGGGCUAGAGUGCGGAAGAGGCGAGUGGAAUUCCUGGUGUAGCGGUGAAAUGCGCAGAUAUCAGGGGGAACACCUAUUGCGAAGGCAGCUCGCUGGGACGUAACUGACGCUGAGACGCGAAAGCGUGGGGAGCAAACAGG
rnacentral:rRNA from 1 species